UAACACAUUGUUUGGUCACAUAGUUUUACGACUGAAGAGAAAAAAGAAAAUGCGUAGAGCAUUUCGUUCUCCACCUGUUGACUCAGUUUCGUACUCAAAUUUGGUGGGAUUUAUUUUCAUAUUCAAUCUUAUUGUCGGAACUGGAGCGCUAACUCUACCAGGAGUAUUUGCGAAAUCAGGAUGGUGUCUAAGCUCUGUUGUGAUAAUAUUAUUAGCUCUUGUAAGCUACAUCACAGUAACAUUUGUUAUCGAAGCCAUGGCUGGUGCGAAUGCGAUAAAAAUUUGGCAGAGUCUUCAAGCUUUACGUUACAAGCGCAAUUCAAAUGAA